rnacentral:misc_RNA from 1 species
GCCCAACAGGCUUCCAACAUUGAAGAUCUGAGUGAAGUCAUCCGGACAUCACUAUCAGUCAUGUCUAAAAUAUGGUCCGAUGCUAUGCAUACAUUUCACGAGAAGUUCAAUGCUGUAUCCACAUUGAUCGCUGAUCAUGGACUUGACUCUACUCCUCAGGAUGAGUUUCUAAGCCUUUUAGGUGGCGCCAGAGCCAGUCCUCCGCUUCAUCAGUUUUUA